rnacentral:lncRNA from 1 species
UCCUGGAAGGUGACUUUUAUUCAUCUUUCCCCUUCAAUCAAAGACUAGCACAAACUGAAAGAGCUUCUGAUUUUAGCUCCCUGACACAGAGACGCAUCACAGCUACUGUGUGAGCAUCUGGAAAACAUCUGGGGAGACCCCAAGUGAGCUGAGGAUAAACACUUCUCGUUCUGAGAUCAGCCUCAUUCUCUCCUUUUCAUCGUAUCGCAUCAACAUCAGCGCCUUCAACGAUGUGAGCACAUCCCCCGCCGUGAGCCGGACCAUUCCUCAGCGUGACGGUACAGAAGGUGGUUUGCUGAACGUGACCGUCCAUCAUAAUAAUUCAUUUACCAUCCACUGGAGGGACGAUCUUAUCAAAAGCUACGUCUGCUUUUCUGCUGAGUGGAGGACGAAGACACACAAAGGGUUCCACGAGUCGUUUCAUGAGCAAGAUAAAAACUACAAGACCAUAUCUCCAUUACCAGAGCCGUUGGAGCCUUUCAAGAGAUACACCCUCACUCUGCACACGCGAACAAACAAUGAAACUUGUAACAUGGUUCAUAUCAACAACAGCGAGAGCACCUACGGGAGCAAACCAUUCUAUUUCAUUGAAGGGUCACCUGUCAGUGCUCCUACAAACGUCAGCGUCUCAAAUGUGACGCUGACCUCGGCGCUGCUGUUCUGGACUUCCAUCCCAGAGGAAGACACCAGAGGUUUCCUGCUUGGUUACAUAAUCUAUUAUAAGAAGUACGACCACAAAAAGACCAGCACUGAAAACAGUAGGUGGACAAACAAGCACCAAGACACAAUAGUAGUAGUUCAAGUACA